rnacentral:lncRNA from 1 species
UCUACCUUGGGAUUGUUCAUUGGAAUUUCGGGUUUUGGGGGCGUUCGUUGGAGUUUUGGGUUUUGGAGUUUCUACCUUGGGAUCGGUCAUUGGAAUUUUGGGUUUUGGAGUUUGGGUUUUGGAGGUUCUACCUUGGGAUUGUUCAUUGAGGUUUUGGGGUUUGGAGUUUCGACCUUGGGAUUGUUCAUUGGAAGUUUGGGUUUUGGAGUUUGGGGGUGUUUGUUGGAAUUUUGGGUUUUGGAGUUUCUACCUUGGGAUCGGUCAUUGGAAUUUUGGGGUUUGGAGUUUGGGGUUUGGAGUUUCUACCUUGGGAUCGUUCACUGGAGUUUCUACUCUGGGAUUGUUCAUUGAGGUUUUGGAGGUUCUACCUUGGGAUCAUUUGAUGGGGUUUUGGGUUUUGCAGUUUCUACUUUGGGAUCGUUCAUUGGGGUUUUGGAGUUUGGGUUUUGGGGGUGUUUGUUGGAGUUUGGGUUUUGGAGUUUCUACGUUGGGAUCGUUCGUUGCAGUUUUGGAGUUUGGGUUUUGGGGGUGUUUGUUGGAAUUUUGCGUUUUGGAGUUUCUGCCUUGGGAUUGCUCAUUGGAACUUUGGGUUUUGGAGUUUCUACCUUGGGACCGUUCGUUGGAAAUUUGGGGUUUGGAGUUUGGGUUUUGGGGGUGUUUUUUUGAAUUUUGGGUUUUGGAGUUUCUACGUUGGGAUCAUUCGUUGGAAUUUUGGGUUUUGCAGUUUCUACCUUGGGAUCGUUCGUUGGGGUUUUGGAGUUUGGGGGCGUUCGUUGGAAGUUUGUGUUUUGGAGUUUGGGUUUUGGGGGUGUUUGUUGGAAUUUUGGGUUUUGGAGUUUCUACCUUGGGAUUGUUCAUUGGAAUUUUGGGUUUUGGAGUCUGGGGGUGUUUGUUGGAGUUUUGGGUUUUGGAGUUUCUACCUUGGGAUCAUUGGAGUUUCUACCUUGGGAUCGUUCGUUGGGGUUUUGGAGUUUGGGUUUUGGGGGCGUUCGUUGCAGUUUUGGUGGCGUUUGUUGGAAUUUUGGGUUUUGGAGUUUCUACUCUGGGAUUGUUCGUUGGAAGUUUGGGUUUUGGAGUUUGGGUUUUGGGGGCGUUCGUUGGAGUUUUGGGUGUUGGAGUUUCUACCUUGGGAUUGUUUGAUGGGGUUUUGGGGUUUGGGUUUUGGGGGCGUUUGUGGGAAUUUUGGGUUUGGGAGUUUCUACAUUGGGAUCGUUCACUGGAGUUUCUACCUUGGGAAUGUUCAUUAGAAUUUUGGGUUUUGGGGGCGUUCGUUGGAAUUUUGGGGUUUGGAGUUUCUACCUUGGGAUCAUUCAUUGGGGUUUUGGAGUUUGGGUUUUGGGGGCGUUCGUUGGAAUUUUGGGUUUUGGAGUUUGGGUUUUGGGGGCGUUCGU